rnacentral:rRNA from 1 species
UUGGAGGGCAAGUCUGGUGCCAGCAGCCGCGGUAAUUCCAGCUCCAAUAGCGUAUAUUAAAGUUGUUGCAGUUAAAAAGCUCGUAGUUGAAUUUCGGGAUCAAUUUAUCGGUCGUGCCUACGGUAUGAACUGGUACAAUUGGUUUCUCCCUUCUGACGAAGCAUGAUGUCAUUAAUUUGGUGUCGUGGGGAAUCAGGACUGUUACUUUGAAAAAAUUAGAGUGUUUAAAGCAAGCAUUAGCUUGAAUACAUUAGCAUGGAAUAAUGAAAUAGGACGUUUGAUCCUAUUUCGUUGGUUUCUAGGAUCGACGUAAUGAUUAAUAGGGAUAGUUGGGGGCAUUAGUAUUCAAUUGUCAGAGGUGAAAUUCUUGGAUUUAUUGAAGACUAACUACUGCGAAAGCAUUUGUCAAGGAUGUUUUCAUUAAUCAAGAACGAAAGUUAGGGGAUCGAAGACGAUCAGAUACCGUCGUAGUCUUAACCAUAAACUAUGCCGACUAGGGAUCGGAUGAUGUUAAUUUUUUAAUGACUCAUUCGGCGCCUUACGGGAAAC